rnacentral:rRNA from 1 species
UCAGAUGACAAGGAGAAGCCAACGCAUUUGAGGUUUCUGGUGUCUAAUACAGCAGCAGGAUGUAUUAUUGGCAAGGGUGGUUCAACUAUUAAUGACUUCCAAUCUCAGUCUGGGGCUCGUAUUCAAUUAUCGCGCAGCCAUGAGUUUUUCCCUGGUACAAAUGACAGAAUCAUCAUGGUCUCUGGACUGUUUGACGAAGUAGUUAAGGCCAUGGAGUUGGUUCUUGAGAAACUCUUAUCAGAGGGGGAAGAAUCUAAUGAAGCUGAAGCUAGGCCUAAAUUUAGACUUGUAGUUCCUAACAGCUCAUGUGGUGGAAUUAUUGGUAAAGGAGGAGCAACAAUCAAGUCAUUUAUUGAAGAUUCACAUGCUGGAAUCAAGAUUUCACCACAGGACAACAACUUUGUUGGUUUGCAUGAUAGGCUUGUUACUAUCACAGGACCCUUAAACAGUCAGAUGCGAGCCAUACAUUUGAUAUUAAGCAAAUUGUCUGAGGAUGUUCACUACCCACCGAAUUUGAGUUCCCCAUUUCCAUAUGCAGGCCUUGGUUUCCCUAGUUACCCUGCGGCUGUUCCUGUUGGCUAUAUGAUUCCACAGGUGCCAUAUAAUAAUGCUGUGAACUAUGGACCUAAUGGGUAUGCUGCUGGUGGUGGUGGUGGUGGAAGGUACCAAAACAACAAGCCUGGUACACCUGUUAGAUCACCUGCUAAUAAUGAUGCCCAAGAAUCACACACCAUAGGUGUUGCUGACGAACACAUCGGUGCAGUUGUAGGGCGUGCAGGAAGGAACAUAACAGAGAUCAUUCAGGCUAGUGGUGCCAGGAUUAAGAUAUCAGAUAGGGGCGAUUUCAUACCUGGCACAUCUGACAGGAAAGUGACGAUAACUGGAACAUCAGAGGCCAUCCAGGCGGCCGAGGCGAUGAUCAUGCAGAGGGUGACGGCCAGUCAGGAGAGGUGA